UAAAAAAAUCACCACGGCAAAAUCAUUCAAGCUAUCCAAAAUCCAUUCACAAUUUAAGUUCCUAUCAGAAAUACUGAUGUGUGUUCAGAGUUUUGUGAAAUUCUAAGUAUGUUAUUUGCCUCAAAAUCACCUGAGAAGUAUUCCAGUUUGACAUGUUGCCACGGCAACAAUUUUUUAGAUAUCAAUAUCCCCCUUGCAGAUUUAUAUCAGCUGUGUUUUAACAUUAUUCUGAUGAAGUUUGAAGCAAAUCGAGUAAUAAUAAGAUGCUGAAUUCAAAUCAUUUUGAAAAUGACACACUUCCUUCUGCCAGUUGGUGGCGCUAUAACUUUGACUCCUAAUAGUCACAUAUAUGCGAUCGACAUCAUACAACGAAUAAUCUGAUGAAGUUUGAUUAAAAUCAGGAAAUGUAUGUGGAUGGUAUUAGACACUUCCUGUUUCUAAUUUCUCGCCAUAAUUUCAACGCCUCGCCACGAGCAAACCGUUCGAGAUAUCAAAAAUCCCCUGGCAAUUUUUCAUCCCCAGUGUCUUGAGAUCAUGUUGACCGAGUUUGGUGGCAAUCGAGUAAAAAACCUAUGACAAGUAUUUCAAAUUCCAGAGCAUGCGCUUUUUACAUAACUCUAAAUAGCUGACUUCCUGUUGGGUGGAGCCUAUGACAUGCAAUACGAAAGUUGUUCGGCACGAUGAGAUCUAUAUGUGUACUGAGUUUCAUAUGAAUAUGUGCAAGUAUGUGUGAGCUAUACAUCAAAAUUUUUGACUGUGUUCCAGGGGGCGCCGUAGAGCCCCUGUGCCACGCCCGGGUCCCAGCCUCUGCAGGCUCCUAAAGGCCACAGAUUCCAAAGUGUGCGCAAAUUUUCAAGAGUUUUUGAGUAUGUUAAGGACCCCAAAAGCCCCCACAACUUUGACGAAAAAUUUGAAUACUAAACCCUAAAUAGCCAACUUCCUGUUGGGCGGAGCCUAUGAUAUGCAAUACAAAAGUUGUUUGGAUUGAUGAGAUUUAUAUGUGUACCGAGUUUCAUACGUCUACGAGCAAGAAUGUAUGAUAUAUGGCCCUCCAUAUUCCAGGGGGCGCUGUAGAGCCCCUGUGCCACGCCCGUGUAUCAGUCUCUGCCCGGCCCUAAUGGCCGCAGGUUCCAAUCUGUGUGCCAAUUUUCAAGACUUUUUAAGCACGUUAAGGGCCCCAAAAGCCCCCGAGACGUUGGAAAAAAAUAAUAAUAAUAAUAAUAAUAAUAAUAAUAAUAAUAAUAAUAAUAAUAAAAAAUAAUCCUAAGGAAAACAAUAGGCCUCUCGCCCUUUGGGCUUGAGCCCUAAUAAAAAACAAAGCAGAUACAAGAGGGUCCUCGCACCUCGGUGCUCGGGCCCUAAUUAAAGCUGCAAGCAGCGAUGAACGGGCCCUCGCACCCGGGCUCACCGCCAUCGUGUGGCUUUAGUAAAAAGGUGAACGUUGAGAAAUAUGCAUUUAAUGUCCUAAAUAUAAGUGGAAUAUAUCAAAGUAUAUCCCAUAUAUGUGCCAAUCUUACCGUUGCCAGCAGGUGGCGCUAUCAUUAUAAUGGAAUAUUGGCCUUCAGAUGUGUUCAGGCCAGGACUCUUAUCGAACAUGUGAAGUUUGGGGAAGAUUGAACAUUUUAUGCUUGAGUUACAACAACUUCUCUUGCUGUGGCAAGACAUCAAAUUUUGUCAUGGCACCAUGGAAACGCCCUUUAACAAAAACUCAGGAUCUCCAAAAGUUAACAUUGCACAGGCCUUUAGAUUAGACUGACCACAAAAUAUAUGUUAAUCUCAAAAAAAUUAUAGGAGUAGUUUGUUGCAGCGUAAAACAUGUCACUUCCUGUUGCCAAUAGGUGGCGCUAUGACUAUAACUGAAUGUGGGCAUGUAGAUCUGUUAAGGGCAAAAGUUUUAUCUAACAUGUGAAGUUUGGGGCAGAUUGGACAUUGUAUGUCUGAGUUACAGCAACUUCCUUUUUCAUGGCGAAACAUCGAAAUUUGUCAGGCCACCAUGGACACGCCCUUUAACGAAAUCUAAAGAUCUUCGCAAUUUAACAUCGCAAAGGGCUUAAGAUUACACUGACCAGGUUUGGUGUUGAUCUGAAUAAAUCUCUAGGAGGAGUUUGUUAAAGUACAACCCCUGAAAAUGGCAAAAACAACGCCAAUUUUGCAGAGAAAAUUCUAAAUAACCGACUUCCUGUUGGGAUUCGGAUUUCGUACCAAGAUACUUUUUUGUAGGUAUUGGUGUGUUACAUGUGUAUACCGAUUUUUGUACAUGUACGUGAAACAUAGCUCGAGGCGCACUCUGUUGAAAGUGUAUAGGUGGCGCUAUCGAGCCAUUUUGCCACACCUGAUGGAAUUUUGGCCUUCAGAUGUGUUCAGGCCAGGAGUCUUAUCACACAUGUGAAGUUUGGGGAAGAUCGGACAUUUUAUGCCUGAGUUAUAACAUCUUUUAUUCCCAUGGCGAGACAUCGAACUUCGUGACGGCGCCAUGGACACGCCUUUUAACGAAAACUCAAGAUCUUCACAACUUAACAUCGCACAGGCCUUUAGAUUAGACUGACCACAAAAAAGACAUUGAUGUCAUAAAAUUUCUAGGAGUAGUUCUUCGCAGCAUAAAAUAUGACACUUCCUGUUGCCAAUAGGUGGCGCUAUGACUAUAACUGCAUAUGGGCAUGUCAAUCUAUUCUGUUCCAGAGUCUUAUCAACCAUGUGAAGUUUGGGGCAGAUUGGACAUUGUAUGUCUGAGUUAUAGCAACUUCAUUUUUCAUAGCGAGUCAUCGAAAUUCACCAGGCCGCCACGGACACGCCCUUCAACGAAAACUCAAAAUCUUCGCAAUUUAACAUCGCAAAGGCCUUUAGAUUAGGCAUACCAAAUUUGGUGUUGAUUUGAAGAAAUCUCUAGGAGGAGUUCGUUAAAAUACAACGCAUAGAAAUGGCAAAAAUGACACAAAAUUUGCCCAUAAUAUUAAAAAUAACCGACUUCCUGUUGGGUUUAGAAUUUUGCUCCAAGAGUCUUUUUUGUAGGUAUUGAUGUGUUACAUGUGUGUACCGAUUUUCAUACAUGUACGUGAAAUGUAGCUCGAGGCGCACACCGCUGAACGUGCAUAGGUGGCGCUGUCGAGCCAUUUUACCACACCCACUUCUGAAACCCAUAUCAGACGUAAAUUUUCGCCAGUUCGGAGGCGUGUGCAAAAUUUGGUGACUUUUUGAGAAUGUUUAGGCCCUCAAAAAUGCGAUUCAUUUUGGAGAAGCGGAAUAAUAAUAAUAAUUAAAGCUGCAAGCAGCGAUGAACGGGCCCUCGCACCCGGGCUCACCGCCAUCGUGUUGCUUUAGUAAAAAGGUGAACGUUGAGAAAUAUGCAUUUAAUGUCCUAAAUAUAAGUGGAAUAUAUCAAAGUAUAUCCCAUAUAUGUGCCAAUCUUACCGUUGCCAGCAGGUGGCGCUAUCAUUAUAAUGGAAUAUUGGCCUUCAGAUGUGUUCAGGCCAGGACUCUUAGCGAACAUGUGAAGUUUGGGGAAGAUUGAACAUUUUAUGCUUGAGUUACAACAACUUCUCUUGCUGUGGCAAGACAUCAAAUUUUGUCAUGGCGCCAUGGAAACGGCCUUUAACAAAAACUCAAGAUCUCCAAAAGUUAACAUUGCACAGGCCUUUAGAUUAGACUGACCACAAAAUAUAUGUUAAUCUCAAAAAAAUUAUAGGAGUAGUUUGUCGCAGCGUAAAACAUGUCACUUCCUGUUGCCAAUAGGUGGCGCUAUGACUAUAACUGAAUGUGGGAAUCUAGAUCUGUUAAGGGCAGAAGUUUUAUCUUACAUGUGAAGUUUGGGGCAGAUUGGACAUUGUAUGUCUGAGUUACAGCAACUUCCUUUUUCAUGGCGAAACAUCGAAAUUUGUCAGGCCACCAUGGACACGCCCUUUAACGAAAUCUAAAGAUCUUUGCAAUUUAACAUCGCAAAGGGCUUAAGAUUACACUGACCAGGUUUGGUGUUGAUCUGAAUAAAUCUCUAGGAGGAGUUCGUUAAAGUACAACCCCUGAAAAUGGCAAAAACAACGCCAAUAUUGCAGAGAAAAUUCUAAAUAACCGACUUCCUGUUGGGAUUCGGAUUUCGUACCAAGAGACUUUUUUGUAGGUAUUGGUGUGUUACAUGUGUGUACCGAUUUUUGUACAUGUACGUGAAACAUAGCUCGAGGCACACUCCGUUGAAAGUGCAUAUGCACUCCGUUGAAAGUGUAUAGGUGGCGCUAUCGAGCCAUUUUGCCACACCCAAUGGAAUAUUUGCCUUCAUAUGUGUUCAGGCCAGGACCCUUAUCACACACGUGAAGUUUGGGGAAGAUCGGACAUUUUAUGCCUGAGUUAUAACAUCUUUUAUUCCCAUGGCGAGACAUCGAACUUCGUCACGGCGUCAUGGACACGCCUUUUAACAAAAACUCAAGAUCUUCACAACUAUCCAUCACACAGGUCUUUAGAUUAGACUGACCACAAAAAAGACAUUGAUGUCAUAAAAUUUCUAGGAGUAGUUUGUCGCAGUGUAAAAUAUGUAACUUCCUGUUGCCAAUAGGUGGCGCUAUGACUAUAACUGAAUAUUGGCAUGUAGAUCUGUUCAGGUCAAGAGUCUUAUCCAACAUGUGAAGUUUGGGGCAGAUUGGACAUUGUAUGUCUGAGUUACAGCAACUUCCUUUUUCAUGGCGAAACAUCAAAAUUUGUCAGGCCGCCAUGGACCCGCCCUUUAACGAAACCUCAAGUCCUUCGCAAUUUAUUAUCGCAAAGGGCUUUAGAUUACACUGACCAAGUUUGGUGUUGAUCUGAAUAAAUCUCUAGCAGGAGUUCGUUAAAGUACAACCCCUGAAAAUGGCAAAAACAACACCAAUUUUGAAGGGAAAAUUCAAAAUAACCGACUUCCUGUUGGGAUCCGGAUUUCGUACCAAGAGACUUUUUUGUAGGUAUUGGAGUGUUACAUGUGUGUACCAAUUUUUGUACAUGUAUGUGAAACAUAGCUCGAGGCGCACUCCGUUGAAAGUGUAUAGGUGGCGCUAUAGAGCCAUUCUGCCACACCCGGUGGAAUAUUGGCCUGAAGAUCUGUUCAGGCCAGGACUCUUAUCACACAUGUGAAGUUUGGGGAAGAUCGGACAUCUUAUGCCUGAGUUAUAACAUCUUUUAUUCGCAUGGCGAGACAUCGAACUUCGUCGCGGCGCCAUGAACAAGCCUUUUAACGAAAACUCAAGAUCUUCACAACUGAACAUCGCACAGGCCUUUAGAUUAGACUGACCACAAAAAAGACAUUGAUGUCAUAAAAUUUCUAGGAGUAGUUCAUCGCAGUGUAAAAUAUGUCACUUCCUGUUGCCAAUAGGUGGCGCUAUGACUAUAACUGAAUAUGGGCAUGUCAAUCUGUUCAGGUUUGGAGUCUCAUCAAACAUGUGAAGUUUGGGGCAGAUUGGUCAUUGUAUGUGUGAGUUAUAGCAACUUCAUUUUUCAUGGCGAAUCAUCGAAAUUCGCCAGGCCGCCACGGACAUGCCCUUCAACGAAAAGUCAGGAUCUUCGCAAUUUAACAUCGCAAAGGCCUUUAGAUUAGGCAUACCAAAUUUGGUGUUGAUUUGAAGAACUCUCUAGGAGGAGUUCGUUAAAAUACAACACAUGGAAAUGAUCAAAAUUACACAAAAUAUGCUCAUAAUAUUAAAAAUAACCGACUUCCUGUUGGGUUUAGAAUUUCGCUCCAAGAGUCUUUUUUGUAGGUAUUGGUGUGUUACAUAUGUGUGCCAAUUUCCGUGCAUGUACGUGAAACAUAGCUGGAAGGCUGUUGAUUUUCUUGGU